rnacentral:rRNA from 1 species
AUUGAACGCUGGCGGCAGGCCUAACACAUGCAAGUCGAACGAGUGGCGGACGGGUGAGUAAUGUCUUGGAAACUGCCUGAUGGAGGGGGCUAACGACUGGAAACGGUAGCUAAUACCGCAUACAAUCAGAUGUGCCCCGAUGGGCUUAGCUAGUUGGUGGGGGAACGGCUCACCAAGGCGACGGUCCCUAGCUGGUUUGAGAGGAUGACCAGCCACACUGGAACUGAGACACGGUCCAGACUCCUACGGGAGGCAGCAGUGGGGAAUAUUGCACAAUGGGCGCAAGCCUGAUGCAGCCAUGCCGCGUGUAUGAAGAAGGCCUUCGGGUUGUAAAGUACUUUCAGCGGGGAGGCGUUACCCGCAGAAGAAGCACCGGCUAACUCCGUGCCAGCAGCCGCGGUAAUUC